CCCCUCUCAGGAUCGCACCUGGUGAGUUGCCAGUAUUCUACUGGUCUCGGCUACAGGAGGGAGAGUCAAACAGAGGCAUACCCAUUCUAUUCCUAGCUUGGGCAGUGGCUAGCCAGUGGAAGGCAAUCUGCUACAAAU